rnacentral:rRNA from 1 species
AGCAGUCGCCGCGGGAAAACGUAGGUGGCGAGCGUUGUCCGGAAUUAUUGGGCGUAAAGCGCGCGCAGGCGGAUCAGUUAGUCUGUCUUAAAAGUUCGGGGCUUAACCCCGUGAGGGGAUGGAAACUGCUGAUCUAGAGUAUCGGAGAGGAAAGUGGAAUUCCUAGUGUAGCGGUGAAAUGCGUAGAUAUUAGGAAGAACACCAGUGGCGAAGGCGACUUUCUGGACGAAAACUGACGCUGAGGCGCGAAAGCCAGGGGAGCGAACGGGAUUAGAUACCCCUGUAGUCCCUGUCUCUUAUACA